rnacentral:rRNA from 1 species
GACGGAAGGUGCAAGCGUUGCUCGGAAUCACUGGGCGUAAAGGGUGCGUAGGCGGGUCUUUAAGUCAGGGGUGAAAUCCUGGAGCUCAACUCCAGAACUGCCUUUGAUACUGAGGAUCUUGAGUUCGGGAGAGGUGAGUGGAACUGCGAGUGUAGAGGUGAAAUUCGUAGAUAUUCGCAAGAACACCAGUGGCGAAGGCGGCUCACUGGCCCGAUACUGACGCUGAGGCACGAAAGCGUGGGGAGCAAACAGGG